rnacentral:rRNA from 1 species
ACGGAGGGUGCGAGCGUUAAUCGGAAUCACUGGGCGUAAAGCGCACGUAGGCGGUGUCGUAAGUCGGAUGUGAAAGCCCUCGGCUCAACCGGGGAACUGCAUUCGAUACUGCGGUGCUUGAGUGCCGGAGAGGGUGGCAGAAUUCCAGGUGUAGGAGUGAAAUGCGUAGAUAUGUGGAGGAACACCAGUGGCGAAGGCGGCCCCCUGGGAUGCAACUGACGCUGAGGUGCGAAAGCGUGGGGAUCAAACAG